rnacentral:rRNA from 1 species
GAUGAACGCUGACAGAAUGCUUAACACAUGCAAGUCAACUUGAACUUCAGUUUGGGUGGCGGACGGGUGAGUAACGCGUAAAGAACUUGCCUCACAGAUAGGGACAACAUUUGGAAACGAAUGCUAAUACCUGAUAUUAUGAUUUUAGGGCAUCCUAGAAUUAUGAAAGCUAUAUGCACUGUGAGAGAGCUUUGCGUCCCAUUAGCUAGUUGGAGAGGUAACGGCUCACCAAGGCGAUGAUGGGUAGCCGGCCUGAGAGGGUGAUCGGCCACAAGGGGACUGAGACACGGCCCUUACUCCUACGGGAGGCAGCAGUGGGGAAUAUUGGACAAUGGACCAAGAGUCUGAUCCAGCAAUUCUGUGUGCACGAUGAAGUUUUUCGGAAUGUAAAGUGCUUUCAGUUGGGAAGAAAAAAAUGACGGUACCAACAGAAGAAGUGACGGCUAAAUACGUGCCAGCAGCCGCGGUAAUACGUAUGUCACAAGCGUUAUCCGGAUUUAUUGGGCGUAAAGCGCGUCUAGGUGGUUAUGUAAGUCUGAUGUGAAAAUGCAGGGCUCAACUCUGUAUUGCGUUGGAAACUGUGUAACUAGAGUACUGGAGAGGUAAGCGGAACUACAAGUGUAGAGGUGAAAUUCGUAGAUAUUUGUAGGAAUGCCGAUGGGGAAGCCAGCUUACUGGACAGAUACUGACGCUGAAGCGCGAAAGCGUGGGUAGCAAACAGG